UGUCACCUUCUUCUCUCUCUGAACUGAACUGAACUGCAGCUCUGUGUGCGAUUUUUGACGUGGUUAUAUUGUUUUGCUUACCUGGAUUUAGCUGCGAAUGAAUAGUCCGCUGAAGUAACCUUACUGUUUUUACUGUGGUUGUGUACGCAUAGAUAAUGAGCUCCGGACAGCACAGGGCACUGGGCCAGGUUAGGUUAACUUACCCGACUUAUUGUUUUUACUCUGUCGGUCUGGUAUUUGGCUGUUAGUCUUGAGUGAUGUUGUGUUAUGAACAUUUGGUAUGUAUGUAGGCCUAUUUGAUACAUGCACCACUGCUACUAUGCAAAUGUCAACUUCAAACGUCUUCUGAUUGAGCUUGUGAAUGCUUCUUUUAUUCUUAACAGAAGCUUAUUUGUACUGUGCACUAUAAGCAGCGGGCUAUAUAUGCUAUUUGGGGUGAGAGAGAGUCAGUGAGUGUGAGAGAGAGAGAGAGAGCAUGUUGGUAAAUGCAACUUUGGGAUUGUGCAUUGAUACCGGAUAGUGCGCAUCUUUAAAGUAUGAUUCAAUUUUGUGUAAAAUUAUACCCUGCACUGUAAUAGCACAAUAUAUUAGAUAAUUGCCCUGCAAAAAAAGACAUCCCCUCUCACUUGGCUUCCCCAAAAAUUUACCCCACCCCAUGCCACUGGAAUAAAAAUAUGCAUCAACGCUUUUUCCACAAAACACAAUAAAGUAAGUAGUGAAAGUAAAUUUUAUUUACUUUCACUUUAUUUAUUUAUUAUCUGAUCAAGCAGUCAAUUACUUUGUCUAUUCAGCUUUAUGCAAGAUCAGGACUACUAUCUGAAAGUUGACUAAUUUUUCAUUAGUUUUCAUUACUAUUUGAGUCUAGCACUAACAAUAAAAAAUUAUUUAUUUGAGUAGAUUUCCCUCAGAUUAUAAGUUGUGCACAAUUACAUUUGAGUAAAGAAUUAGUGGAAUUUAAUUUUAAUAAACAUCAGUAAAUCAAGUCAUUUAGUAUGCAGAAAUUAAAGUUUUGCUUAAAUGUAUUAUAUUGAAGUUAAGGUUUACUCAAAAAUAUUAUUACCUCUACCACCCCAGUUUCCACAAAUAUUGAGUAUUCUGUACUUAUUUGGGUUUACAGUGUAUAUAUUGUUGAUCACAUCAGACACACCUGUCGGCUCCUGCUGCUAACAGCCGGCUGCCAGAAACAGUGAUUAUAGCCUACAUGUAUUUGUACCGGGAUGGCACGAUUCCGCCUGGUUGGUCUGUCCCAGAUCCAAGGGCACAACUCUAGGGAAUCUAAAUGGAAAUAUUAGCCAGUCAUCAUCAUGGGCCAGGUAAUCUUCAUGGACACUCUCUAAUCCUUACACUGGCGUUUUCCUCUGCGGUGCCAUGGCGCAGCCAUGCUGCAUUACGCACGAGUGUCACGCAGUAUUUAUAUGUUUACAGCAGUACAGAGUAGGCUUCACACCUUGCCAAAAUGAUGGCUUCAGUCAGGGGAAUCCCCCAUCCCGGGAGAUCAUUUGAAGAUUGAGGUUUAACAAAUCCGUGUAUGGUUCAUUCUUUGGUUAAUUCGUUUCAAAACCAAAUCGUAAAAAAACAAGUAGUUUUUCUGUUUUAAAACUAAAACGGAAAAUCAAAGCAGCUGCGUUUUGUUCUAUCUAUGACCGGUGUUGUAUCACUACUGGUUUUCAAACUAACUGGCUGCUGUACCUGUGGUCUGCGUCGGGCUUCAUCCAACCAGAGAGAAUGAUCACAGACCAUCUGCAGCGCAACAGGUCGCUCCUGCUCCCGCUCAGGUUGAAAUGGCUGUUAUCUACACUCAUCAAAACUCAAGUUGAUAUUUAUGCUAGUUGUCCAUUUUAGCUUGAAAUAAAUAGGUGUAAAAUGUAGCUGUUUAAAUAAUAAAACAAAAAAUAAACAAUGUUUACGGAAACAAAAUGUCAAACAGGGUACAUGUGUUCAUUAUGUUUAAUUUUCAAAUAACUGAUGGCAAAAUGAGAAUAUUUACAAGAGAAAUGAUGUAUGAUCUGUACAAAGAAAUAUACAUGCAAAGAUAAAAAACAAAUAACAAACAUGUAUUUUAUGAAACCGGAAACAAACAUGACCAAAAAAAAAGACAGACAAUGAAGGAAAAUGGCCUGUGCACACCUUUCAAAUAAAUAACAAGGUAACUGGAUGUCUGUUCCUGGUGGGAUCAGUUUAAACAUAACACAUCCUAACCCCAUAAUGGAUUCAUGUGUAGUUAAGUGGUUAUAGCACAGCUAUCUCGUUUUAAUUUCCAGGAAAGAAAACUAAUGAAACCAAAGCCGCCAUCUUAGGGUAGUGUUUUUUUUUUCUUUUUUUUUUUUUUUUACACACAAAGAACUUGAAUUUAGCAAAGAAAUAUUUUGGCAACAAGUAUCUGUACAUAAAGUUAGAACACCAUUUAGUAAAUGAUGCACAAAUCUCCCAUUCAACUCUUCCAAUGAAACUGCAAUGCUCCAUUCUCUGUGAAGAGGAACUUUAAACCCGUCUCUUUACUAAAGAGCACUAAACAAACUAAUCCUGUUCCUCCAACAUAGUGUUUAACUAGUGUAAACAAUCAUUUGACAUGGUCAUAGAUAACCUAACUCAAGAGAACCACAUUUUUAUUAAGAACUAUAAAGCUAGAGCAACUUUGGUGUACCAAUACUACAGGGACAUACAGUACAAAAGUGUUAAAUCAUUUUUGAUCAAACCAUAAUGAUUGUAGAUUGUGUACUCUAACUUGGCCUGGCAGUUGUAACACUUAAAGAUCAAAUAAACACAAACUACCAGCAGUGCUUGCAGUACCAAGUACGUGCUUUUCUCUAGAUUUAUUACAGAUACAACAGAUGUCUUCAUAAAUAGUUGCAUAAAAUGUUAAAGCCGCAACAUUGCACAUGAUAAUCAAACAUAACAUACAAUGAGUGCAUUUACAGUAAUUUUUCUUCCCCUGCCUCCACAUUCACUCCCAUCUGAUUGGCAAUCACUGCUGCCACUGAGGCUCUGACAGUCUCGUGUCCUGCCAUCCGAAAGCAGGAGUCCGCUGUGAAUGUGAGAGGAAAGAAGGCAGAAGUCUAUAUACAAGAUUGGACAGUGCAGCAUUGUUACUCGUGACAUGGUCAUCAUGGUAUCAUUUUAGAUUAGACCAUCAAGAUGCUCAAAUCCAGAGGAGCCUGCAGCCCCUACAGUCUAAGCACUGGACAUCCAGUUUUUACUGCUUUUGUCAGCUAUGAUCAGAUUGGAGGCGGCAAAGAUUAGGGGGCUGGUUUGGACUUGUGUAUCCUAUCCUUUAAACUCGGGGCUGAAGGCGACUUUGGAUGAAGCUCCUGACUCCUCCGAUGGCCCGGGCGUCAGUCUGAUGUUUCCUUCGGUCUAUGAAGGAGAUGAGGCGGGAGGUGUCCAGGCAGCCCUCUGCUCUGGACCGGCCGUCAGCUGGACCGGCCGUCAGCCACGACUCCUGGAGGCAGAUCCCGGCCGGAGGCCUCCUGCCUGGGUCUGUCCUCAGGAGCAGGCAGAUGAAGUCCCGGGCCGCCUGGCUGACGCCCUGGAAGUAAUCCUUGGGGAAGCUGAAGUCUAGCCGGCAGAUGUUCAGGCAGGUCUCCUCUGUGCUUUCGUCGAGGAAGGGUGAGGCGCCGCUCAGCAGCACGUAGGUCACCACGCCCAGGCUCCACAGAUCGGUGGUCAGGGACAACGGCUCUCCAAGGACCAACUCUGGGGAAGCAAACUCCGGGCUGCCCAGCAGAGGGUGAAUAUAGUGGGCACUGUUGAGCUGGACAGCAUCACCAAAGUCUGUGAGACAUCAUGCAAAGUCUGUGUGACCUUCAGUAUUCAAAGAUAAAACAGGAUCCAACUGCAAGUUGAUCCAUUUAUGUCUGGAAACGUGACCUUUAACUGCCAUGACGACCAACUCGAGCUCAGACUUUUUACGGAUGCGUAGGGACGUGUGCCAGGAUGAAGACUUCCUGCUGGGACAACAAAAGGGAUCCAGUCAAAUCACACUGACACUGAGAGCUCUUACUUGAUGGAUCCUUCGGGGCAAUCAGGUACUAUGGCAGAGGUGUGUCCCAGCACAAAUCCGGGGAUCCAGCCCUCGGCGGCGGGGCCCUGCUCAGUAGCCGCCCUGAACACCAGGAACAUGUUUUGCUGGUUGCUGGCCAAGAUCUGGACCACCUCACCCUGAAUGACGCUGAUCUCAUCCUCCUUCACUGCCAUGUAGUCCUGGGUCACCAACAUGGUGGAUACGCUACUGCUGCUGCUACUUUCACUCUGCACACCACAAGGGAGGAAACAUGGGCACGUGGGAAAUUCAGAAUGUAACUACAGCAGAGACAGAAACAAAAUUCCAGACAUGAGGGAAAGUCACAGCGAAUUCCCCAAACACCUCAGUGUCUGUGAUACAGAUGAAGGAAGCGGACGUACUGUCUUUUCUUGAGGACGCUGGUCCUGCGUUCGUCCAUCUCUUCCAUGGGGGAGGAGGAGGAGAGGAGGGAGUUGUCAGAGGGGUUGAAGGAAGGAGAGCUGCUGUCUCCCUGUUCUACUGACAGUGAGCUGGGUCUGUCCUCCAAAGCCUGCACCAGGGAAAAACAGACGGUAAACUAAAGUGUGUGCUAAUUCAAAUGUAAAAGUGACAAAUGUCUUCAGCAUAUUCAGGCAGUCAGCUGAUGCCAUAAUCCACAUGCUGGCAAGGUUUCCUGCAUGGGUUCUCGUUUUCCUCUGUUAUCCUACCAUCUUGCUUUUGACCAGCUCCUCGAUGGCGCUCACUAACUCAGCGGCACUGGGCGUCUCUGAACUGGAUGGACGGACCGACAGCCGAGAAGAGGUCUGGGUAAAAAUAGAGAGUUGAGAGGACGGGAUGAGGGUGGAGGGAAGAAAAAGAGCAUUAGAACCUGGUAAUACAUACUAUCUAACAACUACAUCUGCUAACUCUGCUCUUCAGCUGGCGUCAAUACAACUCCUACAGAUAAUGUAACGUAGCGUUUAAUGUAACCAGACUAUAGUUUAUAACUGAUACAAGCUUUACUUAAUCAGUCAUUUAAAGAGAUGUGACAACUAAACUUGCUAUGUAAAACAACAAUUUCUUCAUCUCUAAAACAGAUUAUACUCCUGUUUUGUGUGAAAACUUGACCCAUGACCUACAUGUACUGUAAGUUGGAAGAGUCUAUAAAUGGAUAGCAAAAGAAAUAGCUUAAUAUUAUUUUUUGGUUAAAGGUCAUGCUUAUGUUUGGGUUAAGAUUAAUUUCAAGCUUUUGUUUAGCUUGUUUCUUAGUUAGUUUUAUUAUAAGCAAAUGUUUUAAUUUAGUUUUUUUGAGUGAGCAAUGACUUAGUGAAAAAGAUGUUUCCAGAAGUGAAACCCCAAUGCUGGGGGUUUAUAUCUAAAGGUUCAGAGAAAGUGAAAAAGAAAAGUAUAUGUUAUUUAACAAAAAAAAAACUCAAUGGAAAGGUAAAAACAUGAGGCUGAAAGUGAACAAAAUGAAGAUGUGGGAAAAAAGUGUCGAAAUGGUGAUGGGGAGGAUGGCUGGAGAGGGUAAAAAAAAGUCAUGUUUUGAAAGGAAGAUGUUUCCGGUGCUUUCCUGUGAUGAUGAACAGCCUUUGAAAUAAUAAAAAUAAAAAAGGAUGCUAACAAA